CCCUUAGACACUCUAGGCGGCACGCGCGUUACACUGAUGCAUUCAACGAGCUUAUAACCUUGGCCGAGAGGCCUGGGCAAUCUUGUUAACGUGCAUCGUGAUAGGGAUAGAUUAUUGAAAUUAUUAAUCUUGAACGAGGAAUUCCUAGUAAACGCAGAUCAUCAAUCUGCAUUGAUUACGUCCCUGCCCUUUGUACACACCGCCCGUCGCACCUACCGAUUGGAUGGUCCGGUGAAGCCUCGGGAUUGUGGUUCUUGCCGCUUUAUUGUGGCGUGACCGCGAGAACUUGUCUAAACCUUAUCAUCUAGAGGAAGGUGAAGUCGUAACA
rnacentral:rRNA from 1 species